rnacentral:pre_miRNA from 1 species
UAUGUACUCCCUCCAUCCGGAAAUACUUGUCAUCAAAAUGGAUAAAAGGGGAUGUAUCUAGACAUAUUUUAGUUCUAGAUACAUCUCUUUUUAUCCAUUUUGAUGACAGGUAUUUUUGGAUGGAGGGAGUAUAUA